rnacentral:rRNA from 1 species
AAUGGCCGCGGUAUCUUGACCGUGCAAAGGUAGCAUAAUCACUUGCCCCUUAAUUAGGGGCUGGCAUGAAAGGACACACGAAAGCUUCCCUGUCUCAUAAUAAUAAAUAAAAAUUAAUCUUUAAGUGAAAAAGCUUAAAUAAAAUUGCAGGACAAGAAGACCCCGUUGAGCUUUAUUCUCUAUAGAUCAACCUAAAUAUUUUCUAUAUCAUAAACCUAAAAAAGAAUUUAGUUGGGGUGACUAAGGAACAUCAUAAACUUCCUCUAUCUACUUAGGGCCAUUUCCCAAAAAAAUUGACCCACAAACCGUGAUCAAAAAAAUAAGCUACCACAGGGAUAACAGGCUAAUCUUUCUUAAGAGCCCAAAUUGUCAGAAAGGAUUGGCACCUCGAUGUUGGCUUAGGG